rnacentral:rRNA from 1 species
UACAGAGGUCCCAAGCGUUGUUCGGAUUCACUGGGCGUAAAGGGUGCGUAGGCGGUCGGGUAAGUCUGAUGUGAAAUCUCCAAGCUCAACUUGGAAAUGGCAUCGGAUACUAUUCGGCUCGAGGAAUGGAGGGGAGACUGGAAUACUUGGUGUAGCAGUGAAAUGCGUAGAUAUCAAGUGGAACGCCAGUGGCGAAGGCGAGUCUCUGGACAUUUCCUGACGCUGAGGCACGAAAGCUAGGGGAGCAAACAGG